CAGCACCGCAGGAAUCCCCGGCUCUGACCAGGGCACCGUGCACCCCGGGAGCCCCUCACAGCAGCAUUCGGGCUUGGGGGCAACCAACAGCACUCCCAUAGGGGGAGUGGGGGGGCAGCCCUGCUCAGCCCCACAGGGACGGGUGACGGUGGGGACGUGAUGGGCACACACAGCCCCAUGGAGCGCUGGGAGCCCCCCCAGUCUGAACAGUGGAGAGAACGGUCCCAGCUGUGCACCAGAUGUUCUGCAGGCAGCCCCCAGCCAUCACCUCCAUCCCAUCACCCCACAGCCCCACAACCCCACUGUCAAACAGCCCCACAGCCCUGGCACCUGGUGUGGGAAAGCGCCCGCAGGGCCGCGUGCUGUGCUGCAGGCAGACACACAGACACACAGACACACAGACAGCACUCCUGUGCCACUGCAGGGAGUGGGGAUGAGGCAGCCCGGGUGACACGAGAUGGGCACCGCAGGGAUACAGAGACAGAAGGAUCCCGGGGUGCUCCGGUGCUGCACCCACAGUGCCACCCGUGUGCCACGGCACUCUGUAAAGCACCAGGACACCCCGCGUGGCUGUGGGGCAGCGCAGCCCCCCCAGGGCACGGCUGUGCCUCGGUUUCCCCGCAGCUCCCGGAGCAGCACAGCCUGCAGGCACAGCAGCACAGUGACAGCAGCCACAGCCACGGGGUGACACGGAGCGGAGCUCCUGGGGAAACCGAGGCAAAGCUGAGCUGUGGGGUCACAGCAGUGGGGCACAGCGCCAGGACACGGGCAGCCCCACAGCUCACAAGCGCCGUGGGGCAGCGAAGGGGCACUGCGGGCCUGCAGGGGGGGGCUGACAGCAGUGUGAGCACUGCAGGACUGGGGGGUGGGACCAACCGGGGUGAAAGUCCCACCGGGCACAGCUCUGCGGCCGCAAUCACCGCACGUGGUGCGGGGCCGGGCUGCGCCGGGGGGAGGGGGAACGUGGGACCCCCCCCAUCCCAGCAGCGGGGCCGAUCGGGGACAGCACAGCGGAGCGGGGGGGGCAGAGGGGUUCCCCAAACACAGAGGGCAGCGCACGGCUCCGCUCACGGGGUUGGGAGGGGAGCGACAUUCCCGGGAGGGGGGAAGCCGAGGGGGGGCCCCGCCCAUCGCUCAGCACAGAAAUGGGGCAGGGGUCGGCAGGGCGNNNNNNNNNNNNNNNNNN
rnacentral:lncRNA from 1 species